rnacentral:lncRNA from 1 species
GGGGUGGGGGAGGCUGGGGCUGGGUGUGGGGACUGGGCCUGGCCAAGCAACGUGAGGGCAGACUGGAACCAGGGAGACAAGGCCCAGCCAGGGCACAAAGCAGGGGAGACUAGCUCUGUCCUGAAGCAGAACAGGCGAGGGCAGGCCAAGGCAGCUGCAGGAGCCAGGAGGGGUCCCCGGAGGGGACGAGGAGCCCAUUCCUGAAGGGGACGGUACCAGCCCACGUGAUGGCAAGCAGCAACCGCAAGAAGCCAAACAGAGGACUUGUGGGAUUUUAAAAGUACGACUGCUAUCACAGGGAGCAGGGAGCUGGUCUGCAAAAUGUUUCAAGUCUAUAAACGAGGGUUUGUGUUCACAAAAGUCAGAAACUACUUUACAGACAGAGACCCCGAUACCCUAAGAGGAAACCUUCCCUGUCACUCAGAUUGACUCAGGCCCCUUCUUGUUCCCACUGCAGGAAUGGCAGAUCAGCCCUGAGCUAACAUCUGCUGCCAAUCCUCCUCUUUUCGCUGAGGAAGACUGGCCCUGAGCUAACAUCCGUGCCCAUCUUCCUCUACUUUAUACGUGGACGCCUACCACAGCAUGGCUUGCCAAGUGGUGCCAUGUCCGCACCCAGGAUCUGAACCGGUAAAUCCCGGGCCGCCCCGAAGCGGAAUGUGCGCACUUUACCACUGCGCCAUGGGGCCGGCCCCAAUGUUAAUUUUUUUAAAGAGCUAUAUAUAAGUGGUAUUAAAUGGAAAAAAAAGAAAAAC